GACAGAGGGUGCAAGCGUUGUUCGGAAUUACUGGGCGUAAAGCGCAUGUAGGCGGCCUAGCAGGUCGGAUGUGAAAUCCCUCGGCUCAACCAAGGAAGUGCAUUCGAAACCGCAAGGCUCGAGUCCCGGAGAGGAUGGUGGAAUUCUCGGUGUAGAGGUGAAAUUCGUAGAUAUCGAGAGGAACACCGGCGGCGAAGGCGGGAUCCUGGGCCAGUACUGACGCUGAGGAGCGAAAGCGUGGGGAGCAAACAGG
rnacentral:rRNA from 1 species